UUUGUUGACUCAUAUGUCUGAUAUGUGGUAAAUACAGUUGAAGUCUGAAGUUUACGUCCACUUAGGUUGGAGUCAUUAAAACUAGUUUACGUCCACUUAGGUUGGAGUCAUUAAAACUAGUUUACAUCCACUUAGGUUGGAGUCAUUAAAACUAGUUUACAUCCACUGAGGUUGGAGUCAUUAAAACUAGUUUACAUACACUUAGGUUAGGAGUCAUUAAAACUAGUUUACAUACACUUAGGUUAGGAGUCAUUAAAACUAGUUUACAUACACUUAGGUUAGGAGUCAUUAAAACUAGUUUACAUACACUUAGGUUAGGAGUCAUUAAAACUAGUUUACAUACACUUAGGUUAGGAGUCAUUAAAACUAGUUUACAUCCACUGAGGUUGGAGUCAUUAAAACUAGUUUACAUACACUUAGGUUGGAGUCAUUAAAACUAGUUUACAUACACUUAGGUUGGAGUCAUUAAAACUAGUUUUUCAACCACUCCACACAUUUCUUGUUAACAAACUAUAGUUUUGGCGAGUCGG
rnacentral:lncRNA from 13 species